AUCAGGGUGGGGAGGUGGCUGAGCUGAAGCAUAAAGUACAUUUGUUCUUUUGUACAGGAUCCAUUUUGAGACGACAGAGCAGAAAACACUACAUGGACAGACCUGAAAAAUAAAGGGUCAGUGCUCUAAAAUUAGUAUCUCUGGAGAGAGAGGAGGGGGGCCCUGCCUCUAAAAUGAGUCUCUCUGGAGAGAGAGGGGAGGGGGCCCUGCCUCUAAAAUGAGUCUCUCUGGGGGACAUGACACCACAUCUAAGAGGUAAGAUGACAAUUUUAUGAAGAAUUUAUUAUGUUUAUUUCCAAAAUAAAUAGCUAUCUUAAGAUGAAUGCACUUACUGUAAAUCAC